GCUGGGUGUGGUGGCUCACACCUGUAAUCCUAGCACUUUGGGAGGCUGAGGCAGGUGGAUCACUUGAGGUCAGGUGUUCAAGACCAGCCUGGCCAACAUGGUGAAACCCUGUCUCUA
rnacentral:sRNA from 1 species